UACAGAGGCCACAAGCGUUAGGCGGAAUCACUGGGCUUAAAGCGUGUGUAGGCGGGUUGGUAAGUACCUUGUGAAAUCCCACGGCUUAACCGUGGAAUUGCUUGGUAUACUGCGUCGCUUGAGCCAGCUAGGGGCGACCGGAACAAACGGUGGAGCGGUGAAAUGCGUAGAUAUCAAGAGGAACACCUGAGGUGAAGACGGGUUGCUGGGCCGACACUGACGCUGACAGCGCGAAAGCCAGGGGAGCAAACGGG
rnacentral:rRNA from 1 species